GACGAACGCUGGUGGCAGGCUUAACACAUGCAAGUCGAGCGGGGUGAUGGUGCUUGCACUAUCACUUAGCGGCGGACGGGUGAGUAAUGCUUAGGAAUCUGCCUAUUAGUGGGGGACAACAUCUCGAAAGGGAUGCUAAUACCGCAUACGUCCUACGGGAGAAAGCAGGGGAUCACUUGUGACCUUGUGCUAAUAGAUGAGCCUAAGUCGGAUUAGCUAGUUGGUGGGGUAAAGGCCUACCAAGGCGACGAUCUGUAGCGGGUCUGAGAGGAUGAUCCGCCACACUGGGACUGAAACACGGCCCAGACUCCUACGGGAGGCAGCAGUGGGGAAUAUUGGACAAUGGGGGGAACCCUGAUCCAGCCAUGCCGCGUGUGUGAAGAAGGCCUUAUGGUUGUAAAGCACUUUAAGCGAGGAGGAGGCUUACCUAGUUAAUACCUGGGAUAAGUGGACGUUACUCGCAGAAUAAGCACCGGCUAACUCUGUGCCAGCCGCCGCGGUAA
rnacentral:rRNA from 1 species